rnacentral:rRNA from 1 species
AUUGAACGCUGGCGGAAUGCUUUACACAUGCAAGUCGAGCGGCAGCACGGGGGCAACCCUGGUGGCGAGCGGCGAACGGGUGAGUAACACAUCGGAACAUGCCCAGUCGUGGGGGAUAACACUUCGAAAGAAGUGCUAAUACCGCAUACGUCCUGAGGGAGAAAGCGGGGGAUCGCAGGACCUCGCGCGAUUGGAGUGGCCGAUGUCAGAUUAGCUAGUUGGUGGGGUAAAGGCCUACCAAGGCAACGAUCUGUAGCUGGUCUGAGAGGAUGAUCAGCCACACUGGGACUGAGACACGGCCCAGACUCCUACGGGAGGCAGCAGUGGGGAAUUUUGGACAAUGGGGGCAACCCUGAUCCAGCCAUUCCGCGUGAGUGAAGAAGGCCUUCGGGUUGUAAAGCUCUUUCGGCAGGAACGAAACGGUGAGCUCUAACAUAGCUUGCUAAUGACGGUACCUGAAGAAGAAGCACCGGCUAACUACGUG